rnacentral:rRNA from 1 species
AACGAACGCUGGCGGCAUGCCUAAUACAUGCAAGUCGAGCGCAGGAAACUGACGGAACUCUUCGGAGGGAAGGCAGUGGAAUGAGCGGCGGACGGGUGAGUAACACGUAAGGAACCUGCCUCAAGGAUUGGGAUAACUCCGAGAAAUCGGAGCUAAUACCGGAUAGUUCAUCGGACCGCAUGGUCCGUUGAUGAAAGGCGCUCCGGCGUCACCUUGAGAUGGCCUUGCGGUGCAUUAGCUAGUUGGUGGGGUAACGGCCCACCAAGGCGACGAUGCAUAGCCGACCUGAGAGGGUGAUCGGCCACACUGGGACUGAGACACGGCCCAGACUCCUACGGGAGGCAGCAGUAGGGAAUCUUCCACAAUGGACAAAAGUCUGAUGGAGCAACGCCGCGUGAGUGAUGAAGGUUUUCGGAUCGUAAAACUCUGUUGUAAGGGAAGAACACGUACGAGAGGGAAUGCUCGUACCUUGACGGUACCUUACGAGAAAGCCACGGCUAACUACGUGCCAGCCGCCGCGGUAA